rnacentral:rRNA from 1 species
UUAAGCGACUAAGCGUACACGGUGGAUGCCCUGGCAGUCAGAGGCGAUGAAGGACGUGCUAAUCUGCGAAAAGCGUCGGUAAGGUGAUAUGAACCGUUACAGCCGGCGAUGUCCGAAUGGGGAAACCCAGUGUGAUUCGUCACACUAUCGUUAACUGAAUACAUAGGUUAACGAGGCGAACCGGGGGAACUGAAACAUCUAAGUACCCCGAGGAAAAGAAAUCAACCGAGAUUCCCCCAGUAGCGGCGAGCGAACGGGGAGCAGCCCAGAGUCUGAAUCAGCUUGUGUGUUAGUGGAACGGUCUGGAAAGUCCGACGGUACAGGGUGAUAGUCCCGUACACCAAAAUGCACAGGCUGUGAACUCGAAGAGUAGGGCGGGACACGUGGUAUCCUGUCUGAAUAUGGGGGGACCAUCCUCCAAGGCUAAAUACUCCUGACUGACCGAUAGUGAACCAGUACCGUGAGGGAAAGGCGAAAAGAACCCCGGCGAGGGGAGUGAAAAAGAACCUGAAACCGUGUACGUACAAGCAGUGGGAGCACCUUCGGGUGUGACUGCGUACCUUUUGUAUAAUGGGUCAGCGACUUAUAUUCUGUAGCAAGGUUAACCGUAUAGGGGAGCCGCAGGGAAACCGAGUCUUAACUGGGCGUUAAGUUGCAGGGUAUAGACCCGAAACCCGGUGAUCUAGCCAUGGGCAGGUUGAAGGUUGGGUAACACUAACUGGAGGACCGAACCGACUAAUGUUGAAAAAUUAGCGGAUGACUUGUGGCUGGGGGUGAAAGGCCAAUCAAACCGGGAGAUAGCUGGUUCUCCCCGAAAGCUAUUUAGGUAGCGCCUCGUGAACUCAUCUUCGGGGGUAGAGCACUGUUUCGGCUAGGGGGUCAUCCCGACUUACCAACCCGAUGCAAACUACGAAUACCGAAGAAUGUUAUCACGGGAGACACACGGCGGGUGCUAACGUCCGUCGUGAAGAGGGAAACAACCCAGACCGCCAGCUAAGGUCCCAAAGUCAUGGUUAAGUGGGAAACGAUGUGGGAAGGCACAGACAGCCAGGAUGUUGGCUUAGAAGCAGCCAUCAUUUAAAGAAAGCGUAAUAGCUCACUGGUCGAGUCGGCCUGCGCGGAAGAUGUAACGGGGCUAAACCAUGCACCGAAGCUGCGGCAGCGACACUAUGUGUUGUUGGGUAGGGGAGCGUUCUGUAAGCCUGCGAAGGUGACCUGUGAGGGUUGCUGGAGGUAUCAGAAGUGCGAAUGCUGACAUAAGUAACGAUAAAGCGGGUGAAAAGCCCGCUCGCCGGAAGACCAAGGGUUCCUGUCCAACGUUAAUCGGGGCAGGGUGAGUCGACCCCUAAGGCGAGGCCGAAAGGCGUAGUCGAUGGGAAACAGGUUAAUAUUCCUGUACUUGGUGUUACUGCGAAGGGGGGACGGAGAAGGCUAUGUUAGCCGGGCGACGGUUGUCCCGGUUUAAGCAUGUAGGCUGAUUAUCCAGGCAAAUCCGGAUAAUCAAGGCUGAGGUGUGAUGACGAGGCACUACGGUGCUGAAGUAACAAAUGCCCUGCUUCCAGGAAAAGCCUCUAAGCAUCAGGUAACAUCAAAUCGUACCCCAAACCGACACAGGUGGUCAGGUAGAGAAUACCAAGGCGCUUGAGAGAACUCGGGUGAAGGAACUAGGCAAAAUGGUGCCGUAACUUCGGGAGAAGGCACGCUGGUGUGUAGGUGAAGUCCCUGCGGAUGGAGCUGAGACCAGUCGAAGAUACCAGCUGGCUGCAACUGUUUAUUAAAAACACAGCACUGUGCAAACACGAAAGUGGACGUAUACGGUGUGACGCCUGCCCGGUGCCGGAAGGUUAAUUGAUGGGGUUAUCCGUAAGGAGAAGCUCUUGAUCGAAGCCCCGGUAAACGGCGGCCGUAACUAUAACGGUCCUAAGGUAGCGAAAUUCCUUGUCGGGUAAGUUCCGACCUGCACGAAUGGCGUAAUGAUGGCCAGGCUGUCUCCACCCGAGACUCAGUGAAAUUGAACUCGCUGUGAAGAUGCAGUGUACCCGCGGCAAGACGGAAAGACCCCGUGAACCUUUACUAUAGCUUGACACUGAACAUUGAGCCUUGAUGUGUAGGAUAGGUGGGAGGCUUUGAAGCGUGGACGCCAGUCUGCGUGGAGCCAACCUUGAAAUACCACCCUUUAAUGUUUGAUGUUCUAACGUUGGCCCCUGACCGGGGUUGCGGACAGUGUCUGGUGGGUAGUUUGACUGGGGCGGUCUCCUCCCAAAGCGUAACGGAGGAGCACGAAGGUUAGCUAAUCCUGGUCGGACAUCAGGAGGUUAGUGCAAUGGCAUAAGCUAGCUUGACUGCGAGCGUGACGGCGCGAGCAGGUGCGAAAGCAGGUCAUAGUGAUCCGGUGGUUCUGAAUGGAAGGGCCAUCGCUCAACGGAUAAAAGGUACUCCGGGGAUAACAGGCUGAUACCGCCCAAGAGUUCAUAUCGACGGCGGUGUUUGGCACCUCGAUGUCGGCUCAUCACAUCCUGGGGCUGAAGUAGGUCCCAAGGGUAUGGCUGUUCGCCAUUUAAAGUGGUACGCGAGCUGGGUUUAGAACGUCGUGAGACAGUUCGGUCCCUAUCUGCCGUGGGCGCUGGAGAAUUGAGGGGGGCUGCUCCUAGUACGAGAGGACCGGAGUGGACGCAUCACUGGUGUUCGGGUUGUCAUGCCAAUGGCACUGCCCGGUAGCUAAAUGCGGAAGAGAUAAGUGCUGAAAGCAUCUAAGCACGAAACUUGCCCCGAGAUGAGUUCUCCCUGAGACUUUAAGUCUCCUGAAGGAACGUUAAAGACGAUGACGUUGAUAGGCCGGGUGUGUAAGCGCAGCGAUGCGUUGAGCUAACCGGUACUAAUGAACCGUGAGGCUUAACCUU